CAACAGGGAUUGCCCUAGUAACGGCGAGUGAAGCGGCAAGAGCUCAAAUUUGAAAUCUGGCCCUAGUGGUCCGAGUUGUAAUUUGCAGAGGAUGCUUUUGGUGCGGUGCCUUCCGAGUUCCCUGGAACGGGACGCCAUAGAGGGUGAGAGCCCCGUACGGUUGGACACCUAGCCUCUAUAUAGCUCCUUCGACGAGUCGAGUAGUUUGGGAAUGCUGCUCUAAAUGGGAGGUAAAUUUCUUCUAAAGCUAAAUACCGGCCAGAGACCGAUAGCGCACAAGUAGAGUGAUCGAAAGAUGAAAAGCACUUUGAAAAGAGGGUUAAAUAGCACGUGAAAUUGUUGAAAGGGAAGCGUUUGCGACCAGACCUUCUCCAGGGGGAUCAACCGCUGUUCUCAGCGGUGCACUCCCCCUGGUUUAGGCCAGCAUCGGUUCUCUUAGGGGGAUAAAGGCCUUGGGAACGUAGCUCUUUAGGGAGUGUUAUAGCCCCUGGCGCAAUACCCUUCAGGGGACCGAGGACCGCGCUUCGGCAAGGAUGCUGGCGUAAUGGUCGUCAACGACCCGUCUUGAAACACGGACCAAGGAGUCGAACAUUUGUGCGAGUGUUUGGGUGUUAAACCCUCACGCGUAAUGAAAGUGAACGGAGGUGAGAGCCUUAGGGUGCAUCAUCGACCGAUCCUGAUGUCUUCGGAUGGAUUUGAGUAAGAGCAUAACUGUUCGGACCCGAAAGAUGGUGAACUAUGCGUGGAUAGGGUGAAGCCAGAGGAAACUCUGGUGGAGGCUCGCAGCGGUUCUGACGUGCAAAUCGAUCGUCAAAUCUGCGCAUGGGGGCGAAAGACUUAUCGAACCAUCUAGUAGCUGGUUACCGCCGAAGUUUCCCUCAGGAUAGCAGUGUUGUCUUCAGUUUUAUGAGGUAAAGCGAAUGAUUAGGGACUCGGGGGCGCUAUAUUGCCUUCAUCCAUUCUCAAACUUUAAAUAUGUAAGAAGCCCUUGUUACUUAGUUGAACGUGGGCAUUCGAAUGUACCAACACUAGUGGGCCAUUUUUGGGUAAGCAGAACUGGCGAUGCGGGAUGAACCGAACGCGGGGUUAAGGUGCCAGAGUGGACGCUCAUCAGACACCACAAAAGGUGUUAGUACAUCUUGACAGCAGGACGGUGGCCAUGGAAGUCGGAAUCCGCUAAGGACUGUGUAACAACUCACCUGCCGAAUGUACUAGCCCUGAAAAUGGAUGGCGCUCAAGCGUCUCACCCAUACCUCGCCCUUAGGGUAGAAACGAUGCCCUAAGGAGUAGGCGGCCGUGGGGGUUAGUGACGAAGC
rnacentral:rRNA from 1 species